GAUGAACGCUGGCGGCGUGCCUAAUACAUGCAAGUCGAGCGAACAGACGAGGAGCUUGCUCCUCUGACGUUAGCGGCGGACGGGUGAGUAACACGUGGAUAACCUACCUAUAAGACUGGGAUAACUUCGGGAAACCGGAGCUAAUACCGGAUAAUAUAUUGAACCGCAUGGUUCAAUAGUGAAAGACGGUUUUGCUGUCACUUAUAGAUGGAUCCGCGCCGCAUUAGCUAGUUGGUAAGGUAACGGCUUACCAAGGCGACGAUGCGUAGCCGACCUGAGAGGAUGAUCGGCCACACUGGAACUGAGACACGGUCCAGACUCCUACGGGAGGCAGCAGUAGGGAAUCUUCCGCAAUGGGCGAAAGCCUGACGGAGCAACGCCGCGUGAGUGAUGAAGGUCUUCGGAUCGUAAAACUCUGUUAUUAGGGAAGAACAAAUGUGUAAGUAACUAUGCACGUCUUGACGGUACCUAAUCAGAAAGCCACGGCUAACUACGUG
rnacentral:rRNA from 1 species